UACGUAGGGUGCGAGCGUUAAUCGGAAUUACUGGGCGUAAAGCGUGCGCAGGCGGUUUCUUAAGCCAGACGUGAAAUCCCCGGGCUUAACCUGGGAACUGCGUUUGGAACUGGGAGACUAGAGUGUGUCAGAGGGAGGUGGAAUUCCGCGUGUAGCAGUGAAAUGCGUAGAUAUGCGGAGGAACACCGAUGGCGAAGGCAGCCUCCUGGGAUAACACUGACGCUCAUGCACGAAAGCGUGGGGAGCAAACAGGAUUAGAUACCCUGGUAGUCCACGCCCUAAACGAUGUCAACUGGCUGUUGGGAGAGAAAUCUUUCAGUAGCGAAGCUAACGCGUGAAGUUGACCGCCUGGGGAGUACGGCCGCAAGGUUGAA
rnacentral:rRNA from 1 species